rnacentral:rRNA from 1 species
UACGUAGGGGGCAAGCGUUGUCCGGAUUUAUUGGGCGUAAAGCGCGUGUAGGCGGCUUGGUAGGUCAGCUGUGAAAACCCGAGGCUCAACCUCGAGAUGUCGGUUGAAACCACCUUGCUAGAGUCCGGAAGAGGAGAGUGGAAUUCCUGGUGUAGCGGUGAAAUGCGCCAGAUAUCAGGAAGAACACCAAUGGCGAAGGCAGCUCUCUGGGACGGUACUGACGCUGAGACGCGAAAGCGUGGGGAGCGAACAGG